rnacentral:lncRNA from 1 species
CUCCUUAAUAGUAGCAAAAUGACAGCUGCUAAUUUGUAGUGAGGUAGCACCGAAAAUAAUGUGAGGGUUGGAAGUCACCACAACAUGAGGAACUGUAUUAAAGGGUCACAACAUUAAGGUGGAGAACCACUGUCACCAGAAGACCCAGUGACACCAGGUGCCUUUUGUGCUGGCCAAAGCAGGAGGAGGAGGACCAGUGUGACUAAGGAAGCAGCAGGAGUGGCCUGAAUGUUCUCCUUUAUUUUGUGACUAAGCCACUCUACUAUGCUCCCAGGCACUGACUCCACCGCUAAAGUGCCAUCAGGAAACUAAUGGUCCCAUGUGGACCUCAGACUUUCCCAGAAGGUUCCACCUCAGUCAUACAGGCGGGAGCUAAUAAACGUGACUUCAGCAGCCAGUUGAGACCCUGGGUAUCUCAAGUCCCCAAGUUGUGCUCACGGGAACCCAACACUUGCUCAAUUAUGCAGUUGCACAAGCUUUGACUCCUGAAAACCAGCUCAUGCCCUAAGGUCAAAGCCUACACCAGAAGCAAGUAGGGCUGCCUUGCUGACGGAAGCCAGGCUUUACUGAAGCACAGCCCUGAGAGCAGAGGAAGGGAGAACCUACAGGCAAAUGGCUAGGAAGGACAAAGGGCCCAGCAGCCACACCCAGCCACACUGGGCCCCAACAGGAAUUGCAAACGCUGACGACAAAUGAUCUGUUUCCACCCAAGUCUGGGCUGCUGUUGGGCACACUGUACGAACAAAGGGCACGAUUCCACUGGAGACUAGAAAAUGGGUCAGAGU